CUAGCCGCCCAAGCCGGUACCAGAGCAUUCUGGAGCGCUCUGCAGGCCAAGCAAGGGGGGGUGCUCUCCAUAAGUGGCCACCGAGGGCGCUCUCGGGUGGACUGCUGAGUGAAAAACAAGGUGCAGAACAGCAGUAUCCAGAAGUGUAAGAUGCCAUUUAGGAGCUGGUGUCCCCCUGCAGAUGGAGCCGCGGAACACCCAAACCCCGACGUCUAACUGCUGAUGACUAUCUCGGGCAUCACAGGAACAGCACUGCCAAUGGAAGGCAUUGUAAACGUACGCAAGAUCAGUGCUCUGGCCAAUGGCGGCAGAUGGCUGUCACUAAAGACUUUCUAUCAAGGGCAAAGUCAGGUUGAAAAGUGGAUUGCAUGUGCUUCGAGCAUUGGCUGCCUUGCAAAUACUGUUGAUGUUUGAUCCUGGGAGCUUGUGUGUGUGGUUCAGGCUUUGAGAAUUAAGUCUCUAACUCAAAAAGUUAUUCAAUACAUCAUUAAUUACAUCAAGCACUGAAAGAAAAACUGAUAAUAUCUGACUACUUGCUGGUUAAAAGUUAG